GCUCAUUUCAGCAGGACAUCUACUAAACAUGGAACAAUACAGAGAAGAUAAGCUUGGCUCCUGAGCAAGGAUGACAAGCAAAUUCGUGAAAUGUUCCAAAGUCUU